CCAUGAUAGAUGAAGAAGUAUUCUCAUGUGUCUAAUUUAAGUUUUUUUCACUAGAACAAGAAAGAUUCAUAUCAUUAGAAUCCAUAUGAUAUAUUUUAAAAGGGUCAUGAUAAAACAAAAAUAUCUAUUCAUUUCAACUUAAUAGGAUAAAAAAAUGUACAAAAGAUGAUCAUACUUAUCAUGGAAAAAAUAUGGUGGAACAAUGUAAUCUAAUGUAAAUGAUGAGUAUUGGUAAUCUUAAAUUUAAGAAGAAAUAAAUCAUAUGCUCACUAUUAGCGGGUGGAUUACAAUUGGGCCUAUAAUAUUCUAGAAAAUCACAAUAUAUACUCUCCCUUUUCUAUAUCCUUUAGUAAGAAGUUUUGGCAAUAAAUUAUAUUUUAAAUAAUAUCUAAUAUGUCAUUAACUUUUUACACAAACAUUGGUUCCACUUUGGAAUUUAUGGAUAGAACUUUACCUGUAUUAUAUUUAACUUCAAUGCUUGGGGAUACUUGAAUCUAUACCAAAGAGAGCAGUUAAAGUAAUAACACUUAGUCAAAACAUUUUGCUUCUAACUCGGUGUUUAAGUCAAGAUUAUAUCGG
rnacentral:lncRNA from 1 species